GACGAACGCUGGCGGCGUGCUUAACACAUGCAAGUCGAACGGAAAGGCCCUGCUUUUGUGGGGUGCUCGAGUGGCGAACGGGUGAGUAACACGUGAGUAACCUGCCCUUGACUUUGGGAUAACUUCAGGAAACUGGGGCUAAUACCGGAUAGGAGCUCCUGCUGCAUGGUGGGGGUUGGAAAGUUUCGGCGGUUGGGGAUGGACUCGCGGCUUAUCAGCUUGUUGGUGGGGUAGUGGCUUACCAAGGCUUUGACGGGUAGCCGGCCUGAGAGGGUGACCGGCCACAUUGGGACUGAGAUACGGCCCAGACUCCUACGGGAGGCAGCAGUGGGGAAUAUUGCACAAUGGGCGGAAGCCUGAUGCAGCAACGCCGCGUGCGGGAUGACGGCCUUCGGGUUGUAAACCGCUUUCGCCUGUGACGAAGCGUGAGUGACGGUAAUGGGUAAAGAAGCACCGGCUAACUACGUGCCAGCAGCCGCGGUGAUACGUAGGGUGCGAGCGUUGUCCGGAUUUAUUGGGCGUAAAGGGCUCGUAGGUGGUUGAUCGCGUCGGAAGUGUAAUCUUGAGGCUUAACCCUGAGCGUGCUUUCGAUACGGGUUGACUUGAGGAAGGUAGGGGAGAAUGGAAUUCCUGGUGGAGCGGUGGAAUGCGCAGAUAUCAGGAGGAACACCAGUGGCGAAGGCGGUUCUCUGGGCCUUUCCUGACGCUGAGGAGCGAAAGCGUGGGGAGCGAACAGGCUUAGAUACCCUGGUAGUCCACGCUGUAAACGGUGGGUACUAGGUGUGGGGUCCAUUCCACGGGUUCCGUGCCGUAGCUAACGCUUUAAGUACCCCGCCUGGGGCGUACGGCCGCAAGGCUAAAACUCAAAGGAAUUGACGGGGCCCCGCACAAGCGGCGGAGCAUGCGGAUUAAUUCGAUGCAACGCGUAGAACCUUACCUGGGUUUGACAUGGAUCGGGAGCGCUCAGAGAUGGGUGUGCCUCUUUUGGGGUCGGUUCACAGGUGGUGCAUGGCUGUCGUCAGCUCGUGUCGUGAGAUGUUGGGUUAAGUCCCGCAACGAGCGCAACCCUUGUUCACUGUUGCCAGCACGUUAUGGUGGGGACUCAGUGGAGACCGCCGGGGUCAACUCGGAGGAAGGUGGGGAUGACGUCAAGUCAUCAUGCCCCUUAUGUCCAGGGCUUCACGCAUGCUACAAUGGCUGGUACAGAGAGUGGCGAGCCUGUGAGGGUGAGCGAAUCUCGGAAAGCCGGUCUCAGUUCGGAUUGGGGUCUGCAACUCGACCUCAUGAAGUCGGAGUCGCUAGUAAUCGCAGAUCAGCAACGCUGCGGUGAAUACGUUCCCGGG
rnacentral:rRNA from 1 species